rnacentral:tRNA from 1 species
AAUAGAGUGCCUGACCAAAGGGUUAUUUUGAUAGAAUAAAUUAUGUAAUUAAUUUACCUCUAUUG